GAGGAUGAAUAGCACUAGCUAGUUGCAUCAUUGUAAUGAGGAUGCAAUAUUGACUAUGUUGAAUAAAAUUCUAGGUAGAAUUAUGAUAAUGACAUUGUCUGCCUAUGUGUCUUGACCAAAUUACGUGCCAGCAGUCGCGGUAAUACGUAGAAGACUAGUGUUAUUCAUGUUUAAUCGGUUUAAAGGGUACCUAGACGGCAGAUCAAGCUUUCCGAGAAGAAAAAAAAGAGAAAAAAGGACUAAUUUGCUAGAGUUACUUACGAGGGGGUUUUAAAGUACUGCUGGUGUAGAGAUGAAAUUCUGUCAUACCUCUUUUCGAAAGAAAAAUGAUGGCACAGGUAUAGGCGAAGGCAUCCCCUUAUGUGAUAACUGACGUUGAGGGACGAAGGCUUUAUAUAACGAACAGGAUUAGAUACCCCAGUAGUGGAAGCAGUAAAUGAUGAAUGUCAUAGAUUAGCUAGAUAGGUUCAUUCUAUAAAUGAAAGUGUAAGCAUUCCACCUCAUGAGUAAUUUGGCAACAUUGGAAUUGAAAUCAUUAGACCGUUUCUGAAACCAGUAGUGAAGUAUGUUGUUUAAUUUGAUGAUCCGCAAAAAACCUUACCACAAUUUGAAUAUUUAUAUUUUUUUUUAUUGUUUUCUUAUUAAUUUUCUUCUCUUUAAUUUAAGAACAAAGUAUUAAAGAAAAGAGGAAAAUAUUUAAUGCAGAGGCAAUAAGAUAUAUUUACAAGCGUUGCACGGCUGUCUUCAGUUAAUGUCGUGAGACUUUGGUUAGAUCCAUUAAAUUAACGUAAACCCUUACUUUAUUUUUAGAAGAGUUGUUCCCCACUAUAUUGGAUAAGAU
rnacentral:rRNA from 1 species